rnacentral:rRNA from 1 species
UGAUGUGUUCAUUUCAAAGAUUAAGCCAUGCAUGUAUAAGUAUAAACGACUUGAUCGUGAAACCGCGAACGGCUCAUUAUAACAGCUAUAAUUUACUUGAUCUUGACAAUUUACUUGGAUAACUGUGGUAAUUCUAGAGCUAAUACAUGCACCAAAGCUCCGACCGUAAGGAAAGAGCGCAUUUAUUAGAACAAAACCAAGCGGCUUCGGCCGUUCAAUGUUGAAUCAUAAUAACUAAGCUGAUCGCAUGGUCUUGUACCGGCGACGUGUCUUUCAAGUAUCUGCCUUAUCAACUUUCGAUGGUAGUGUAUCUGACUACCAUGGUUGUGACGGGUAACGGAGGAUAAGGGUUCGACUCCGGAGAAGGGGCCUGAGAAAUGGCCACUACGUCUAAGGAUGGCAGCAGGCGCGCAAAUUACCCACUCUCAGAACGAGGAGGUAGUGACGAGAAAUAACAAGACCGUUCUCUUCAGAGGCCGGUCAUUGGAAUGGGUACAAUUUAAACCCUUUAACGAGUAUCUAUGAGAGGGCAAGUCUGGUGCCAGCAGCCGCGGUAAUUCCAGCUCUCAAAAUGCAUAGAAUCAUUGCUGCGGUUAAAAAGCUCGUAGUUGGAUCUGUGCUGGCGGGUCGGUCCACCUUCGGGUGCGCACUGAUUUCGCCGGCUUUCCUGCUGUAUUUGGCCCUGUGCCUUUCAACGGGUGCAGUGUCCAGUGCAGCAAGUUUACCUUGAACAAAUCAGAGUGCUUCAAACAGGCGUUUCGCUUGAAUGUUCGUGCAUGGAAUAAUAGAAGAGGAUUUCGGUUCUAUUUUAUUGGUUUUAUAGACUGAGAUAAUGGUUGACAGAGACUAACGGGGGCAUUAGUAUUGCUACGUGAGAGGUGAAAUUCUUGGACCGUAGCAAGACUGACUACAGCGAAAGCAUUUGCCAAGAAAGUCUUCAUUAAUCAAGAACGAAAGUCAGAUGUUCGAAGGCGAUCAGAUACCGCCCUAGUUCUGACCGUAAACGAUGCCAACUAGUGAUCCGCCGGUGGAACAUUCGCCCUGGUGGGGAACUUCCCGGAAACGAAAGUCUUCCGGUUCCGGGGGAAGUAUGGUUGCAAAGCUGAAACUUAAAGGAAUUGACGGAAGGGCACCACCAGGAGUGGAGCCUGCGGCUUAAUUUGACCCAACACGGGAAAACUCACCCGGCCCGGACACCGUAAGGAUUGACAGAUUGAUAGCUCUUUCAUGAUUCGGUGGAUGGUGGUGCAUGGCC